AUUGAACGCUGGCGGCAUGCUUUACACAUGCAAGUCGAACGGUAACAGGGAGCUUGCUCCGCUGACGAGUGGCGAACGGGUGAGUAAUGCGUCGGAACGUGCCGAGUAGUGGGGGAUAACGCAUCGAAAGGUGUGCUAAUACCGCAUACGUACUGAGGUAGAAAGUGGGGGACCUUCGGGCCUCACGCUAUUCGAGCGGCCGACGUCUGAUUAGCUAGUUGGUGAGGUAAAGGCUCACCAAGGCGACGAUCAGUAGCGGGUCUGAGAGGAUGGUCCGCCACACUGGGACUGAGACACGGCCCAGACUCCUCCGGGAGGCAGCAGUGGGGAAUUUUGGACAAUGGGCGCAAGCCUGAUCCAGCCAUGCCGCGUGUCUGAAGAAGGCCUUCGGGUUGUAAAGGACUUUUGUCCGGGAGCAAAUGCCUGGUGUUAAUAGCACUGGGAGCUGAGAGUACCGGAAGAAUAAGCACCGGCUAACUACGUGCCAGCAGCCGCCGUAAUAC
rnacentral:rRNA from 1 species